UUCGGAGACACCGGUGACAGGUGGUGCAUGGUUGUCGUCAGCUCGUGUCGUGAGAUGUUGGGUUAAGUCCCGCAACGAGCGCAACCCUUGGCCUUAGUUGCCAGCAUUCAGUUGGGCACUCUAAGGCGACUGCCGGUGACAAACCGGAGGAAGGUGGGGAUGACGUCAAAUCAUCAUGCCCCUUAUGCCCUGGGCUACACACGUGCUACAAUGGGCGGUACAAAGGGUUGCGAACCCGCGAGGGGGAGCUAAUCCCAAAAAGCCGCUCUCAGUUCGGAUUGCAGGCUGCAACUCGCCUGCAUGAAGCCGGAAUCGCUAGUAAUCGCGGAUCAGCAUACCGCGGUGAAUACGUUCCCGGGCCUUGUACACACCGCCCGUCACACCACGAGAGUCUGUAACACCCGAAGUCGGUGAGGU
rnacentral:rRNA from 1 species